GGAUGUGUAGUAUAGAGGUUAGUAUGAGUGCCUUCCAAUUUCGUAACAGAAGUCGAGAGCACUAGACGUGGGUUCGAUUCCCGCCACAUUCA